GAUGAACGCUGGCGGCGUGCCUAAUACAUGCAAGUCGAGCGAACAGACGAGGAGCUUGCUCCUCUGCCGUUAGCGGCGGACGGGUGAGUAACACGUGGAUAACCUACCUAUAAGACUGGGAUAACUUCGGGAAACCGGAGCUAAUACCGGAUAACAUGUUGAACCGCAUGGUUCAACAGUGAAAGACGGUCUUGCUGUCACUUAUAGAUGGAUCCGCGCCGCAUUAGCUAGUUGGUAAGGUAACGGCUUACCAAGGCAACGAUGCGUAGCCGACCUGAGAGGGGGAUCGGCAACACUGGAACUGAGACACGGUCCAGACUCCUACGGGAGGCAGCAGUAGGGAAUCUUCCGCAAUGGGCGAAAGCCUGACGGAGAAACGCCGCGUGAGUGAAGAAGGUCUUCGGAUCGUAAAACUCUGUUAUUAGGGAAGAACAAAUGUGUAAGUAACUAUGCACGUCUUGACGGUACCUAAUCAGAAAGCCACGGCUAACUACGUG
rnacentral:rRNA from 1 species